rnacentral:lncRNA from 1 species
UUAGCCAUUGGGUUCACUCACUGACUUGUGCGAAUUUCAUACAAAUCGAUUACGUGUAAAGCCUAAUUUUACACACUCUUAGAACAAGAACCUCUUUUUUGCAUAUUGUAAAUAGAGUGGUACUUCAAAUCUUCAUAAAUUCAAGUCUUGGCUGUAGUUUCUCUUCUUCCUGAAAACAUUGAAUCAAAUGGCAAGUUUAAAAUAAACACCAUCAAAUCAAGCAAAAGAAGAAUGUUAAGUCACUUGCAUUUUUUAGUGCCCCAUUUCGAUUUUCCAAAAUUUUAGAAAGAUCAAACAAAACAUUAAUACAAUGGUAUAAAUAUAGUUUUCUCCACAUAGCAAAUUAAAGAAUCACUCAUGAACCGAUUACCAACUUUAGUACUCUGAUUAAAUAUCUUUGUCUAAUAUCAUCAUGCAUGCUCUAAAAUUCUCUUCCGACUAGCCGUAAGGCAACACAUCUAAUUUAAUUCCUCUCGCCUUAAAGACUGCUUACAGCCACGCUAUUUGAUGCACUUUGCCUAUGUCUAGCGGGCGGCCUUGAAGUGCCCGCGUCAUUAUCUGGAUACGGUGGAAUAAGCAAUUAGCAAACUAGGGCAUGUGCAACAGAAAGGAGAUGUGAUGACUAAUGAUGCAAUCUCAAUACCUUGAAUUUGAACCAUAAUAGUCGUCUUGCCGCUGUCGAGACCUCGUUGUCGUCUCGUCGCUGGUGUGUCGAGUGGUGUCUAAUUGAUGGCAAAUAGGAGAGAUCACAUCACAGAGUCGAGGAAGUGAACAAGAAGGGCGAAAGGUCAUGCGGCUGCCGUGUACACGUACAGGAGAAUAUGAAUAAGGGAUCAACACAAUGGGCAUGAACCUCGAUGCAAAAUGAAAACGAGCAGGAAGCCACAAAGAGGCUUUUCACGGUGGCAAUUCCCUUGUGCCUUUUUGGGCUUUCCUUGAGCGAUUCUAAACUUGAUGGGGUCAGACCGUAUUUUUUAUUGGGGUCAAAGCAUGUACGUAUGUGUAUACUAUACCUGGCCAGAAAAUUUCAUUGGGUUCAGCUGAACCCAAUGCGAGUAUGCUGGCUCCGCCCCUGGGGGGAAGCAUGCAUGUGAGCUCGGGGCCUUGGGAGUGCGCUGUCGCCUUCAUGGCACGUGAGGCGCCUAUCGUUUUGCAACUUUGGGUCGUGAUCCAUCGAUCGAUCGCCACCCACGAAAGAAAGUUCACCACACAGGGUUACAUCACACUUCCCCUCUCGCACACACCACGGCAGACAGCGAGGAGGGAAAGUAGUGGCUACACGAACAUAAUUGUACCAUCAUAUAGUAUAUUCCAUUAGCCAUUAGGUGAAGCAGAAGGUAGCAGCUGGAAGAACUAGCUACGAGAACCGAAUCUUGUGAGGGCCGUUGAGGUGCCUGGCAGCCGCGGCCAUCUGCCUGGUCGGGCCGUCGCCGGCGACCAGCUCGCCGUGGCCGCCGCCUUCAGAGCCGCAGCAGAAGCUCGCCAGCCACGACGCCAGCGCGGCCGGCCAGGAGAAGCUCUGUGCUGAUUUGUACUCCAUCAUCACAUGCACCUCUCCCACGAUGUUGUUUAGCACUUGAGUUCUGAACUGGGCAAAAACUGAAGCGAAGCUUAGUUUGGCCGACUGUUGUGGUUUGGUCACACUUGUUUAUUACCCAUCACACCCCUUUUAUAGCGGGAUGCUCCGUGGAGACGUGUGCUAGCUGCAGUGGAGACGAGUUGCUUGGUGAUGAAGUCGCAACGUGCGAGAUUUUGGGUUGGUUCGUGGACUGCUCUCUGUCUCCCGCCGGUCAAGGCGAGGCAGUAAAGGUGAUGUAUGCCAAGGAACGUUCGGGUGUGUGUGCAGUGUCGACAGGUUCCUGGCGUGGUGAUGCUGAGCUGCCUAAAUGGAGGAAUUCAACUGCGUGUCCUACGACUUGAGAGUCCAAGGCUGGAAAAAAAUGGCAUGUCUUUCUUACUUGCUUCCAAGUGCCAAGUCCAAGUGUUCAAACCUACGCAUGCAGAUUGACUCCUCCGAAUUGCGACAUGUACUCCAUGAUUGUUCAACAAGAAAAUGCAACGUCUCUCAGUGCUACGAUUGCGCGUCCUGAAUGUACCUUUUUUCUUGCACGCACAUUUUGCUGAAGUUGUGUCGAAUAUUGGACUUUGAUUCGAGCUGCGUGUAGGCAUGGUAUGGAAUUGUGUCCUAAUAGCAAACUAAAACCACGGCGAGAAUUAUGAAAC